GGACACGCUGGAGAGACUAUGUCUCUCGGCUGGAACGACCUGGAAGCGAGGAUGAGGACAAUCACAGACCUCAAUGAAAAGGCAUGGCCUGAAACAUAUGCAUCAAGGCCCCUACAAAGUCCUUGAUAUGUCAGAAAAUGGCGUGGCCACCAUCCAAAAGAACACUGGGUCCUUGCAGAAGGUGAAUAUCAAUCGCCUGAGGCCGUACUACAGACAGAAACAUUAACAGUCUAAAGGACUGUGUAGGAGAGAGUGAUCAAAUCUGAGCUGGACAUCUACGUCAAUUGUGUUUAAAUGACAUCGUUCCAGUCUCCACUCUCGAGGUGCAGUUCCAGGGAAGGAAGCUCUUGAGAGGAGAGUGCAGCAUCCCAACACAAGACACUGAGGAAAAGAUGAAGAUGAUCGGGAGACUGCACUGUUGACAAUCAUCCUUCUGCCUUAAGCACCUACAUACCUGUAUGCUCCAGAUUCAGAUUGCUUCAGUCUUUCUCUCUCUCUUUCUCUAUCAACCCCAACCGGUCAA